GAAUAUUGGACAAUGGGCGAAAGCCUGAACCAGCCAUGCCGCGUGGGUGAAGAAGGUCUUCGGAUUGUAAAGCCCCUUACGUUGGGAGGAAGAGCAGUAAGCCAAUACCUUGCUGUUCUGACGAUACCGACACAAUAAGCCCCGGCCAACCCUGUACCAUCAGCCGCGGUAAGACAGGGGGUGCAAGCGUUAAUCGGAAUUUCUGGGGGUAAAGCGCGGGUAUGUGGUUCGUUAAGGUGGAUGUGAAAUCCCCGGGCUCAACCUGGGAACUGCAUCGAAAACGGGCGAGCUAGAGUCGGGCAGAGGGUGGUGGAAUUUCCUGUGUAGCGGUGAAAUGGGUAGAUAUAGGAAGGAACACCAGUGGCGAAGGCGACCACCUGGGCUCAUACUGACACUGAGGUGCGAAAGCGUGGGGGGCAAACAG
rnacentral:rRNA from 1 species